UCACUCCGAAUGACCACUGCAAUGAGUGACCAAUGAGUGACCAUUGACACCCAGAGACCCCCCCGAUCUCCCACAUGGUCACUCCGAAUGACCACUGCAAUGAGUGACCACAGUGACCACUGAGUGACCAAUGAGUGACCAUACAUCCCUGAUCUCCCACAUGGUCACUCUGAAUGACCACUGCGGACAGAGUGACCAAUGACCACUGAGUGACCACUGAGUGACCAUUGACACCCAGAGACCUCCCUGAUCUCCCACAUGGUCACUCCGAAUGACCACUGCAAUGAGUGACCACUGAGUGACCACAGUGACCACUAGGAUAUCACACGUGGUCACUCAGUGGUCACUCACAGGUCACUCAGGGGUCACUUAGUGGUCACUCUGGGUCACUCAGGGGUCACUCAGUGGUCACUCAUUGGUCACUCAAUGGUCACUCAUUGGUCACUCAUUGGUCACUCAGUGGUCACUCAGGGGUCACUUAGUGGUCACUCAGGGUCACUCAUUGGUCACUCAGGGAUCACUCAGUGGUCACUCAUUGGUCACUCAGGGGUCACUCAUUGGUCACUCAUUGGUCACUCAGGGUCACUCAGGGGUCACUCAUUGGUCACUCAGGGAUCACUCAGUGGUCACUCAUUGGUCACUCAUUGGUCACUCAGUGGUCACUCAGGGGUCACUUAGUGGUCACUCAUUGGUCACUCAGGGAUCACUCACGGGUCACUCAUUGGUCACUCAUUGGUCACUCAUUGGUCACUCAGGGGUCACUCAGGGGUCACUCAUUGGUCACUCAGGGGUCACUCAUUGGUCACUCAUUGGUCACUCAGGGGUCACUCAGGGGUCACUCAUUGGUCACUCAGCGGUCACUCAUUGGUCACUCAGCGGUCACUCAUUGGUCACUCAGGGUCACUCAGGGGUCACUCAGUGGUCACUCAUUGGUCACUCAGGGGUCACUCAUUGGUCACUCAGGGGUCACUCAGGGGUCACUCAGGGUCACUCAGGGUCACUCAGUGGUCACUCAGUGGUCACUCAUUGGUCACUCAUUGGUCACUCAGGGGUCACUCAGUGGUCACUCAGGGGUCACUCAGGGUCACUCAGGGGUCACUCAUUGGUCACUCAGUGGUCACUCAGGGUCACUCAGGGGUCAUUCAUUGGUCACUCAGGGGUCACUCAUUGGUCACUCAUUGGUCACUCAGGGGUCACUCGGGUCACUCAGUGGUCACUCAGGGGUCACUCAGGGGUCACUCAGGAUCACUCAGGGGUCACUCAGGGGUCACUCAUUGGUCACUCACUGGUCACUCAUUGGUCAUUCAGGGUCACUCAUUGGUCACUCAGGGGUCACUCAGGGUCACCCAUUGGGGCCACAUUUGAGGCUUUUUGGGUUUUUUUUUGAUUUUUAAUUGGAUUUUUGGGGGGUUUUUAAUGGGAUUUUUAUGGGGUUUUUAUGAGAUUUUUAAUGGGGUUUUUUUUGGGUUCUAAUGGGAUUUUUAUGGGAUUUUUUGGGGAUUUUUAUGGGUUUUUUAAUGGGAUUUUUAUGGGAUUUUAAUGGGAUUUUUAUGGUGUUUUUAUGGGAUUUAAUGGGUUUUUUAAUGGGAUUUUUUUGGGAUUUUAAUGUGAUUUUUAUGGGCUUUUAAUGGGAUUUUUACGCGGAUUUUUUGGGAUAUUUUUUGGGAUUUUAAUGGGAUUUUUAUAGGGUUUUUAUAGGGUUUUUUUUGGGUUUUAAUGGGAUUUUUAUGGGGUUUUAAUGGGAUUUUUAUGGGGGUUUUUGGGAUUUUUUGGGGGAUUUUAAUGGGAUUUUUAAUGAGAUUUUUAUGGGGUUUUUUGGGGAUUUUUAUUGGGUUUUAAUGGGGGUUUUAAUUGGGUUUUUAUGGGAUUUUUUAUGGGGUUUUUUGGGAUUUUUAUGGGGUUUUAAUGGGAUUUUUAAUGGGAUUUUUGUGGCAUUUUUGGGGGGAUUUUUUUUGGAUUUUUAUGAGAUUUUUAAUGCUUUUUUUGGGUUUUAAUGGGAUUUUUAUGGGGGUUUAAUGGGAUUUUUAAUAGGACGUUAAUGGCAUUUUUAUGGAAAUUUUAAUGGGGGUUUUAUGGGAUUUCUUUGGGAUUUUUUGGGGGAUUUUUAUGGGAUUUUUUUGGGGAUUUUUAUGGGGUUUUUUGGGACUUUUAUGGGAUUUUUUUGGGAUUUUUAUGGGCUUUUAAUG
rnacentral:lncRNA from 1 species